UAGGGAAUCUUCGGCAAUGGACGAAAGUCUGACCGAGCAACGCCGCGUGAGUGAAGAAGGUUUUCGGAUCGUAAAACUCUGUUGUUAGAGAAGAACAAGGACGUUAGUAACUGAACGUCCCCUGACGGUAUCUAACCAGAAAGCCACGGCUAACUACGUGCCAGCAGCCGCGGUAAUACGUAGGUGGCAAGCGUUGUCCGGAUUUAUUGGGCGUAAAGCGAGCGCAGGCGGUUUCUUAAGUCUGAUGUGAAAGCCCCCGGCUCAACCGGGGAGGGUCAUUGGAAACUGGGAGACUUGAGUGUAGAAGAGGAGGGUGGAAUUCCAUGUGUAGCGGUGAAAUGCGUAGAUAUAUGGAGGAACACCAGUGGCGAAGGCGGCUCUCUGGUCUGUAACUGACGCUGAGGCUCGAAAGCGUGGGGAGCAAACAGG
rnacentral:rRNA from 1 species